rnacentral:lncRNA from 10 species
CCUGCUUGCACUCACUCCUUCCCGCCGCCUUAUGAAGAAGAUGCCUGCUCCUCUUUGCCUUCUACCGUGUUUAUAAGUUUCCUGAGGCCUCUCCAGCCAUGCAGAACUAUGCUGGUCCCAGAGUUGGAGCAAGAUCCUGGAGACUCCUGCUGUUCCAGGCAUUAACUUUUAGUAGCUGAUUCAUAAGGAGUUCUGAGGAAGCAACUUGGAAGCGGUUGGAACCUUAAGAGGCUUGUGACAGUGGCUAUAUUCUAACCAGUGUGCAAGUAUUUUAAUUUUUUACAACUGGUAUUAUUACAUUGGUGUCUUCUAGCUAAAUAUUAACAUUGUUGGUAUGUGAGGGUUGAAGUUAGAAG